CCGUGUCUUAUCCAGUGUUAAAUAAGACGGAUUGGUGCAUAAAGUAUGUCAUAUAUACAGUUAGACAACCACCACUGCCGCCUAUAGUUCAAGCUCAAGCACAGUGCCGCAUAAAAAGCCGAGAGAUCGCUGUACAAUCCUACUGAGGCACAAACGCACACGGGAAAGCCGACAAUGUUAAAUGUGGUCACCCGUCCAGUCCGAUCAUUGACCGAACAACUAACUAUUUUAGUGCAACUUCCGAUGGCCACAAUCUAUAUUAUCACCAGAGGUGUAUUCACAAUAAUGAAUACGAUAACAAAACUUAGCAGAAUGAUAAGUCGUUGAUAAACCUUGCGUGACCGAUGUUUGAGUGAGACAGCGACCACACCAAUAACGAAAGCCAUUCUAAUGAAGAUGAGUGAUACUUGUGGUUUAUGCUAAAAUGUAUUGCUUCCUGAUGACUUGUGCCAGAGAUUAUUUUGUGAUUAAAAUUAAUUUUAAAUAUGGAAAAAAUAAAAUGAGCUUGAGCUUGAGCGUGAUUGGC